rnacentral:rRNA from 1 species
CCUACGGGAGGCAGCAGUGAGGAAUAUUGGUCAAUGGGCGAGAGCCUGAACCAGCCAAGUCGCGUGAGGGAGUACUGCCCUAUGGGUUGUAAACCUCUUUUGUCGGGGAGCAAAAGCCGUACGUGUCCGGCUGUGAGAGUACCCGAAGAAAAAGAAUCGGCUAACUCCGUGCCCGCAGCCGCGGUAAUACGGAGGAUGCGAGCGUUAUCCGGAUUUGUUGGGUUUAAAGGGUGCGCAGGCGGAUUUUUAAGUCAGCGGUCAAAUCGUGGGGCUCAACCCCAUCCAGCCGUUGAAACUGGGGAUCUAGAGUGUGCGAGAGGUAUGCGGAAUGCGUGGUGUAGCGGUGAAAUGCAUAGAUAUCACGCAGAACCCCGAUUGCGAAGGCAGCAUACCGGUGCACAACUGACGCUCAGGCACGAAAGCGUGGGUAUCGAACAGGAUUAGAUACCCUGGUAGUC